rnacentral:rRNA from 1 species
AGCAGCCGCGGUAAUUCCAGCUCCAAUAGCGUAUAUUAAAGUUGUUGCAGUUAAAAAGCUCGUAGUUGAAUUUCGGGAUUCGCCCAUUGGUCAGGCUUAACUGUCUGUACUGGUGUGUCGGAUUUCUACCUUCUGAAGAACCUUUAUGCCAUUAAUUUGGUGUGUUGGGGAAUCAGGACUGUUACUUUGAAAAAUUAGAGUGUUUAAAGCAGGCUAACGUCUGAAUACAUUAGCAUGGAAUAAUGAAAUAGGACGGUACGGUUCUAUUUUGUUGGUUUCUAGGAUCGCCGUAAUGAUUAAUAGGGAUAGUUGGGGGCAUUAGUAUUCAAUUGUCAGAGGUGAAAUUCUUGGAUUUAUUGAAGACUAACUACUGCGAAAGCAUUUGCCAAGGAUGUUUUCAUUAAUCAAGAACGAAAGUUAGGGGAUCGAAGACGAUCAGAUACCGUCGUAGUCUUAACCAUAAACUAUGCCGACUAGGGAUUGGACGAUGUUAAUUUUUUAAUAACUCG